AGAGGUGCCUCUAGCAGGGAGGGAGAGAGAGAGAGGUGCCUCUAGCAGGGAGGGAGAGAGAGAGAGGUGCCUCUAGCAGGGAGGGAGAGAGAGAGAGGUGCCUCUAGCAGGGAGAGGGAGAGAGAGAGAGGUGCCUCUAGCAGGGAGGGAGAGAGAGAGAGGUGCCUCUAGCAGGGAGGGAGAGAGAGAGAGUGCCUCUAGCAGGGAGGGAGGGAGAGAGAGAGGUGCCUCUAGCAGGGAGGGAGAGAGAGAGAGAGGUGCCUCUAGCAGGGAGGGAGAGAGAGAGGUGCAUCUAGCAGGGAGGGAGAGAGAGAGGUGCCUCUAGCAGGGAGGGAGAGAGAGAGAGGUGCCUCAUUACAUCCCUGCAGCAUCGGCCUCAUUACAUCACAUCCAAGUACAUUUUAACGGUCAAUAAAUUCAGUUCUAUUGAGCUCAUUUUUGGACAACUGUCUGUCAUUUUUGCCUCAAUUAUAUUUCAUGGUGGAACAAAUGUUUUCGUGUGUAUAAAUAAUGUGCAUUUUAUUGUGUUUAUAAAUCUGGUACAGAGACCUUGGUCUCAGCAUUGACUCCCUAUCUAAAUAAAGACACCCUGGUCUCAGCAUUGACUCCCUGUCUAAAUAAAGACACCUUGUUCUCA